CCCAAUGUGAACCAUACCAAACUGUUGCCUCGGCGGGGUCACGCCCCGGGUGCGUCGCAGCCCCGGAACCAGGCGCCCGCCGGAGGGACCAACCAAACUCUUUUCUGUAGUCCCCUCGCGGACGUUAUUUCUUACAGCUCUGAGCAAAAAUUCAAAAUGAAUCAAAACUUUCAACAACGGAUCUCUUGGUUCUGGCAUCGAUGAAGAACGCAGCGAAAUGCGAUAAGUAAUGUGAAUUGCAGAAUUCAGUGAAUCAUCGAAUCUUUGAACGCACAUUGCGCCCGCCAGUAUUCUGGCGGGCAUGCCUGUCCGAGCGUCAUUUCAACCCUCGAACCCCUCCGGGGGGUCGGCGUUGGGGACCUCGGGAGCCCCUAAGACGGGAUCCCGGCCCCGAAAUACAGUGGCGGUCUCGCCGCAGCCUCUCCUGCGCAGUAGUUUGCACAACUCGCACCGGGAGCGCGGCGCGUCCACGUCCGUAAAACACCCAACUUCUGAAAUGUUGACCUCGGAUCAGGUAGGAAUACCCGCUGAACUUAAGCAUAU
rnacentral:rRNA from 1 species